AUUGAACGCUGGCGGCAGGCUUAACACAUGCAAGUCGAGCGGUAGCACAGGGGAGCUUGCUCCCUGGGUGACGAGCGGCGGACGGGUGAGUAAUGUCUGGGAAACUGCCUGAUGGAGGGGGAUAACUACUGGAAACGGUAGCUAAUACCGCAUAACGUCGCAAGACCAAAGAGGGGGACCUUCGGGCCUCUUGCCAUCAGAUGUGCCCAGAUGGGAUUAGCUAGUAGGUGGGGUAAUGGCUCACCUAGGCGACGAUCCCUAGCUGGUCUGAGAGGAUGACCAGCCACACUGGGACUGAGACACGGUCCAGACUCCUACGGGAGGCAGAAGUGGGGAAGAGUGCACAAUGGGCGCAAGCCUGAUGCAGCCAUGCCGCGUGUGUGAAGAAGGCCUUCGGGUUGUAAAGCACUUUCAGCGAGGAGGAAGGUGGUGAGCUUAAUACGUUCAUCAAUUGACGUUACUCGCAGAAGAAGCACCGGCUAACUCCGUG
rnacentral:rRNA from 1 species